rnacentral:misc_RNA from 1 species
GACGAACCGUACAAACGUUACUCGGAAUUACUGGGCUUAAAGGGUGCGUAGGCUGCGCGGAAAGUUGGAUGUGAAAUCCCUCAGCUCAACUGGGGAAUUGCAUUCAAAACUGCCGUGCUAGAGGGAGACAGAGGUAAGCGGAACUCAAGGUGGAGCGGUGAAAUGCGUUGAUAUCUUGAGGAACACCGGUGGCGAAGGCGGCUUACUGGGUCUCUUCUGACGCUGAGGCACGAAAGCUAAGGUAGCAAACGGG